UGCAGGGGAAUUGUCCAGGAGCGCUGUCUGGAGGAGAGACUCUCAAAAGUGGACCUGAACAUCCUUCUAAGCAGAUGUGAACAGUCCUCAGCUUUCUGCCUCCUGCAUAACUGGCUUACCAAGGGAAAAGAAGUCACGUAUCAGUCUACUGUCCUCAUGCGAAGGAAAGCGAAACCGACGAGACCGCGAUCAUUGUCGAAAUCAGGCAUUAGCUGUACAUCUGGGAGCGGAGCAGUCACCGCUGUCAGUGAGAUAAAUGUCUGGUUUGGUGAGGGAUCUGCUCAUGGCCCACCUGGCUCCAGUUUGCAGAGGAAUCAUCCAGGAGCCCUCGCCGGAC